UUAAAAGUAUUACUCUGCUGUAGUGUUGUCAAUAGAAUAUAGGCCUGCAAAGGUGGCAGUGGGGAGAUGAAUUAAGAUGCAAGGGAUAAUGAUGGCUUGGAUAUCAUGGGUAAGAAAUGGUGAUAUUUUAGAUAUAUUUUGAACUUAGAGCCAAUAUUGACAGAUUGAAUGUGGGAUAUGAAAGAAAAACAAGAGUCAACGAUGCCAGAAAGGCUUUUAGCACAAUCAGCUUAAAGGAUGAAGAUGCUGUCAACUGAAAUGUGGGACAGUCGUGAGUGGAGCAGGUUUGACGAGUUGUUAAAGACCAAGAGAUCAGCUUUGGAAAUGUUGAGCUUGAGACAGCAAUUGGACAUGCGGCUGGGGAUGUUGAGUAAGCAGCUGGAUAUGUGAGUCUGGAACUUAGAA
rnacentral:lncRNA from 1 species